rnacentral:rRNA from 1 species
GACGUAGGGCGCGAGCGUUGUCCGGAUUUAUUGGGCGUAAAGAGCUCGUAGGCGGCUUGUCGCGUCGACUGUGAAAACUUGGGGCUCAACCCCAAGCUUGCAGUCGAUACGGGCAUCACUGGAGUUCGGCAGGGGAGACUGGAAUUCCUGGUGUAGCGGUGAAAUGCGCAGAUAUCAGGAGGAACACCGGUGGCGAAGGCGGUUCUCUGGGCAUUACCUGACGCUGAGGAGCGAAAGCGUGGGGAGCAAACAGG